rnacentral:sRNA from 1 species
CGAGUGAAUUAAUCUGUUGUUGAACCUGUUGUCUAGGGAUAGCUUUACUGCACUUGUU